UACAGAGGUGGCAAGCGUUGUUCGGAAUUACUGGGCGUAAAGGGCGCGUAGGCGGUCUUGCAAGUCCUGUGUGAAAUCCCUCGGCUCAACUGAGGAACUGCACAGGAAACUGCUUGGCUUGAGUUCGGGAGAGGGAAGCGGAAUUCCGGGUGUAGCGGUGAAAUGCGCAGAUAUCAGGAAGAACACCCGUGGCGAAAGCGGCUCUCUGGAACGGUACUGACGCUGAGACGCGAAAGCGUGGGGAGUGAACAGG
rnacentral:rRNA from 1 species